rnacentral:rRNA from 1 species
AACGAACGCUGGCGGCAGGCUUAACACAUGCAAGUCGAACGCCCCGCAAGGGGAGUGGCAGACGGGUGAGUAACGCGUGGGAACAUACCCUUUUCUACGGAAUAGCUCUGGGAAACUGGAAUUAAUACCGUAUACGCCCUACGGGGGAAAGAUUUAUCGGGGAAGGAUUGGCCCGCGUUGGAUUGGCUAGUUGGUGGGGUAAAGGCCUACCAAGGCGACGAUCCAUAGCUGGUCUGAGAGGAUGAUCAGCCACAUUGGGACUGAGACACGGCCCAAACUCCUACGGGAGGCAGCAGUGGGGAAUAUUGGACAAUGGGCGCAAGCCUGAUCCAGCCAUGCCGCGUGAGUGAUGAAGGCCUUAGGGUUGUAAAGCUCUUUCACCGAUGAAGAUAAUGACGGUAGUCGGAGAAGAAGCCCCGGCUAACUUCGUG